UACGUAGGGGGCAAGCGUUAUCCGGAUUUACUGGGUGUAAAGGGAGCGUAGACGGUACGCCAAGUCUGAAGUGAAAUGCCGCAGCUUAACUGCGGAACUGCUUUGGAAACUGGCGGGCUAGAGUGCGGGAGGGGUAAGCGGAAUUCCUAGUGUAGCGGUGAAAUGCAUAGAUAUCACGCAGAACUCCGAUUGCGAAGGCAGCAUACCGGCGCCCAACUGACGCUGAAGCACGAAAGCGUGGGUAUCGAACAGG
rnacentral:rRNA from 1 species